AUUGAACGCUGGCGGCAGGCCUAACACAUGCAAGUCGAGCGAGCGGCGGACGGGUGAGUAAUGUAUGGGGACUGCCCGAUAGAGGGGGAUAACUACUGGAAACGGUGGCUAAUAACGCAUACUAUCGGAUAACCCAUAUGGGAUUAGCUAGUAGGUGGGGUAAAGGCUCACCUAGGCGACGAUCUCUAGCUGGUCUGAGGUGAUGAUCAGCCACACUGGGGCGUAGACACGUCCCAGACUCCUACGGAGGCAGCAGAGUAGAAUAAUGCACAAUGGGCGCAAGCCUGAGACAGCUAUGCCGCGUGUAUGAAGAAAGCCUUAGGGUUGUAAAGUACUGUCAGCGGGGAGGCGUUACCCGCAGAAGAAGCACCGGCUAACUCCGUGCCAGCAGCCGCGGUAAUUC
rnacentral:rRNA from 1 species